AUACGGAGGGUGCGAGCGUUACUCGGAGUCACUGGGCGUAAAGCGUCCGUAGGCGGUCGGGUAAGUCGGGUGUGAAAGCCCCGGGCUCAACCUGGGAAGUGCACCCGAUACUGCUCGACUCGAGUGCGGGAGAGGAUGGCGGAAUUCCCGGUGUAGCGGUGAAAUGCGUAGAGAUCGGGAGGAACACCAGUGGCGAAGGCGGCCAUCCGGCCCACAACUGACGCUGAGGGACGAAAGCGUGGGGAGCAAACAGAAUUAGAAACCCUAGUAGUCC
rnacentral:rRNA from 1 species